ensembl:snoRNA small nucleolar RNA, H/ACA box 3A
AUCGAGGCUAGAGUCAUGCUUGGGUAUUGGCUUGUUGCCUUAGUGUGCUAGAGUCCUCGAAGAGUAACUGCUGACCUUAUUCACUGGCUGUAACCCUCAUGGCAUAGUCAGUCACCAGGUCAGUGACAAGU